UACGGGGGGGGGCAAGCGUUGUUCGGAAUUACUGGGCGUAAAGGGCUCGUAGGCGGCCAACUAAGUCGGAUGUGAAAUCCCCAGGCUUAACCUGGGAACUGCAUCCGAUACUGGAUGGCUUGAAUCCGGGAGAGGGAUGCAGAAUUCCAGGUGUAGCGGUGAAAUGCGUAGAUAUCUGGAGGAAUACCGGUGGCGAAGGCGGCAUCCUGGACCGGCAUUGACGCUGAUGAGCGAAAAGCUAGGGGAGCAAACGGGGAUUA
rnacentral:rRNA from 1 species